rnacentral:rRNA from 1 species
UACGAAGGGGGCUAGCGUUGUUCGGAUUUACUGGGCGUAAAGCGCACGUAGGCGGAUCGAUCAGUCAGGGGUGAAAUCCCAGAGCUCAACUCUGGAACUGCCUUUGAUACUGUCGAUCUGGAGUAUGGAAGAGGUGAGUGGAAUUCCGAGUGUAGAGGUGAAAUUCGUAGAUAUUAGGAGGAACACCAGUGGCGAAGGCGGCUUACUGGUCCGGAACUGACGCUGAGGUGCGAAAGCGUGGGGGAGCAAACAGG